rnacentral:rRNA from 1 species
AGAGUUUGAUCCUGGCUCAGAUUGAACGCUGGCGGCAUGCCUUACACAUGCAAGUCGAACGGCAGCACGGGAGCAAUCCUGGUGGCGAGUGGCGAACGGGUGAGUAAUAUAUCGGAACGUGCCCAGUCGUGGGGGAUAACGUAGCGAAAGCUACGCUAAUACCGCAUACGAUCUAUGGAUGAAAGCGGGGGAUCGCAAGACCUCGCGCGAUUGGAGCGGCCGAUAUCAGAUUAGCUAGUUGGUGGGGUAAAGGCCCACCAAGGCGACGAUCUGUAGCUGGUCUGAGAGGACGACCAGCCACACUGGAACUGAGACACGGUCCAGACUCCUACGGGAGGCAGCAGUGGGGAAUUUUGGACAAUGGGCGCAAGCCUGAUCCAGCAAUGCCGCGUGCAGGACGAAGGCCUUCGGGUUGUAAACUGCUUUUGUACGGAACGAAAAGGUCUGCCC